rnacentral:tRNA from 1 species
GGAAGGUAUCGCUCAGUGGUAGAGUGAGUGCUUAUUAUGCACAAGGUCCUGGGUUCAAGCCCCAGUACCUCCA